rnacentral:rRNA from 1 species
GAUGAACGCUGGCGGCGUGCCUAAUACAUGCAAGUCGAGCGAACAGACGAGGAGCUUGCUCCUCUGACGUUAGCGGCGGACGGGUGAGUAACACGUGGAUAACCUACCUAUAAGACUGGGAUAACUUCGGGAAACCGGAGCUAAUACCGGAUAAUAUAUUGAACCGCAUGGUUCAAUAGUGAAAGACGGUUUUGCUGUCACUUAUAGAUGGAUCCGCGCCGCAUUAGCUAGUUGGUAAGGUAACGGCUUACCAAGGCAACGAUGCGUAGCCGACCUGAGAGGGUGAUCGGCGACACGGGAACGGAGACACGGACCAGACUCCUACGGGAGGCAGCAGUAGGGAAUCGUCCGCAAUGGGCGAAAGCCUGACGGAGCAACGCCGCGUGAGUGAUGAAGGUCUUCGGAUCGUAAAACUCUGUUAUUAGGGAAGAACAAAUGUGUAAGUAACUAUGCACGUCUUGACGGUACCUAAUCAGAAAGCCACGGCUAACUACGUG